CCUACGGGAGGCAGCAGUGGGGAAUAUUGCACAAUGGGCGCAAGCCUGAUGCAGCGACGCCGCGUGCGGGAUGGAGGCCUUCGGGUUGUAAACCGCUUUUGUUCAAGGGCAAGGAACGGUCUUUGGCCGUGUUGAGUGGUUUGUUCGAAUAAGCACCGGCUAACUAGGUGCCAGCAGCCGCGGUAAUACGUAGGGGACAAGCGUUAUCCGGAUUUUUUGGGGGUAAAGGGGUCGUAGGCGUUUCGUCGCGUCCGGUGUGAAAGUCCAUCGGUUAACGGUGGAUCCGGGCCGGGUACUGGCGGGCUUGAGUGCGGUAGGGGAGACUGGAAUGCCCGGUGUAACGGUGGAAUGUGUAGAUAUCGGGAAGAACACCAAUGGCGAAGGCAGGUCUCUGGGCCGUUACUGACGCUGAGGAGCGAAAGCGUGGGGAGCGAACAGGAUUAGAUACCCCUGUAGUC
rnacentral:rRNA from 1 species